UACGGAGGGUACGAACGUUAAUCGGAAUUACUGGGCGUAAAGCGCACGUAGGCGGUUCGUUAAGUGGGAUGUGAAAUCCCCGGGCUCAACCUGGGAACUGCAUUUCAAACUGGCGAACUAGAGUCUGGUAGAGGGGGGUGGAAUUUCCUGUGUAGCGGUGAAAUGCGUAGAUAUAGGAAGGAACAUCAGUGGCGAAGGCGGCCCCCUGGACUAAGACUGACGCUGAGGUGCGAAAGCGUGGGGAGCAAACAGG
rnacentral:rRNA from 1 species